CACUCCCUUGGUAAGCAUGCAAAAACGAAAGAAAAGAAACGGCAUCGCUGCAGACUGUUUGUUCGCAGAAUCCUGUUUCCAUGGUGACAUUCAUUGCAGUGUAUGUAUAUGUGAGCCAAUAGUGCAAGCCUGAAAUGUACUGUACAGGGGAGGAAAACCUCCCUGUCCUCAUUGAGAUGCAUCUGAGUGUGUUGCUCUGCUGAAGGGGAAUCCCGGUUUCAAACGGAGGAAACCCUGGCUCAGCCUUACCUGCCAGAGGAGAAGGAGCUGAAACAGCUUUAGCCAAUCUGUCAGCGUCUGCCUCUGUGCGAUGGGGGAAGAAGAGGCAGGAGAGAGCUGUUAUGUAAGACCUCAGCGGCACGUGAACUCCCUUCCUCAUCACUAGUCACAUCCCUGAGAGAGCUUUGCUCUCCGGAACCUUCCAAACUACCCACCGCCAUCAUCCAGCUGCAUGCCAAGGCAGGGCUUGAAGAUUCAAUUACGGAGGGAACUGGCCGGCCUGGCGUAGAUGGUGCUUUGCUUCCCCACAGACUUUACAGGCUUGCUGUCAUCUUCUCCAGCUGUGUUAGUGCCGCUGCAAUAUUCCAACAGCCUGCUGUAGGGUGUGGGGUGCUGGCUGUCUACUGCAAGAGGAAAGAGAAUCCAUUGGGGCUCAUUUCAGGAAAAUGCAGGUUUGUGCCUAUCCCCACAACUACAGUCAGAAAGAAUUAAGAAGCGGCAAGUUUCACCUUCUUGAAAUGAGGCAGGGGCUGAAGCAGAAAAAGGAGUUGAGAGUGGUUUCAACUAAGAGACAUGAGAAACGCAAAAACUGGUUUAAGGGCCAUCUCUAAAAAUGACACCUGAGAGUGACAGCCAAGCUGGUAAGAUGAGACUUCUAACAGGACCAGUCUAUAUUGAUGAGCAGCAUGCACUAGACUUUCAAGCACUCUCAACAAUGCUUGAUGGCAAAUUAUAUCAUCCCUUGCCCACAUUAUUCUGCUGGAAAAUUCCCCUGUUCCCAGAAAGAAAUGCAAUUUGACAGAAAUGUACGAAUUAAAAGGAACAAAAUGUAAUUAAAAUGGCGAUAGCACAUAAUCUGGUAACCCA